UACGUGGAAGACUAGUGUUAUUCAUCUUUAAUAGGUUUAAAGGGUACCUAGACGGUAUUUUUUAGCUUUAAAAAAAGUACGAAAUUACUAGAGUUUUUAUAUGAGGGGGGUAGAACUUGUGGAUAGAGAUGAAAAUUUUUGUCAUACUACAAGGACAGGUAAAGGCAAAAAGCAUUCUUCUAUGUAAAAAACUGACGUUGAGGGACGAAGGCCUGGGUAGCAAUAAGG
rnacentral:rRNA from 1 species